rnacentral:rRNA from 1 species
AAAUUAGAACGAUACACUUAGUUUAAUUUAUUUAUUUAAUCAAAACAUUAUUAGAUUUAGUAAAGGUGAUUAAAAGUUAUUAUUUCGUUUUAGAAAGUACUGUGAAGGAAUUAAACAAAAUUAUUUUAUAGAAAAAAUUGUUAUUUGUACCUUUUGCAUCAUGGUCUAACUAGAUAAAAUUUCAGAGGAAAAUUCUCGAAAUCUAAUGAGUUACUUCUUAGCCUGUUUGUUUAUUAGAACCUAAAGGUUGAUUGUGGCAAAAAUCUCCUUAGAGCUAGAAGUGGAAAUGAAAUUUUAUUCGCAUUAGAUGAUAGCUAGUUUUCUCCUAAAAGCAUAAAAGUGCUUUAAGCUAUGUAAUUAUUAACCAUUUAAACUAGGGUUUAUAAGUAUUAUAGUUUGCUUAGACUUUUGAGGAUAAGCUCGAAAGUUACUGUAAAACUUGCAUUUAAAUUUUAUAUUAAAUAUAAGCUUGAAAAUAGCUACUAUUAUAGAUUUUGUUACAAUUUCAUUGCUUUAUUAAAAAUAUAAUUGAUCUGCAUAAAAUCAAGGAGAAUAAUUCUAUUAACCGUAUAAUAGAUUGUAUUUAUGUUAGAAUGAGUAUUUAAAAUUAUAUAUUACGUCAAAUUCUUAUAGGCUUGAAACAUGUAUCUAUUUUUUAAAUAAAAUCAUAAAAAGGAAUUCGGCAAAAAGCAUUCUGCCUGUUUAUCAAAAACAUGGCUUCAUGACAUUUUUUGAUAUGAAGUCGGACCUGCCCAGUGAAUUUUUCAACGGCCGCGGUACUCUGACCGUGCAAAGGUAGCAUAAUCAUUUGCCUUAUAAUUGAAGGCUGGAAUGAAUGGUUUGACAAGAGUGCAACUGUCUCUUUAUGAUUCAAUAGAAUUUUAUUUUGGGAUGAAAAAGUCCUAAUAUAAUUAAAAGACAAGAAGACCCUAUCGAGCUUGAAAUAAAUUAACAAAAGAAAAAUUUAUUAGACAAAAAAAUUGUGUUGUUAAACAUUUUGGUUGGGGCAACUAAGGAGUAAAAAAAGCCUCCUUUAUGUUAAGAUAAACUAACAAGUACUGAUCCAAACUUUUUGAUCAAAGAAAAUAGUUACCGUAGGGAUAACAGCAUUAUCUUUUUUGAGAGUUCCUAUCGAAAAAAAGGUUUGUGACCUCGAUGUUGGACCAGAAUAUCCUGAAGAUGCAGAAGUCUUCAAGGGUUGGUCUGUUCGACCAUUAAAAUUCUACGUGAUCUGAGUUCAGACCGGCGUGAGCCAGGUCAGUUUCUAUCUUUAAUUAUCAAAACACGCUUAGUACGAAAGGACCAGUGUGUUGUAUUAUUAUACUAAAAAACGAGAAAAUUUAAUAGAAAUAUAAGUUUA